rnacentral:piRNA from 1 species
UGUAGACUGGUUGCAGCACUGUAA